rnacentral:rRNA from 1 species
CUUACACAUGCAGUCGAGCGGGGAGAUGUAGCUUGCUACAUUUCCUAGCGGCGGACGGGUGAGUAAUGCUUAGGAAUCUGCCUAUUAGUGGGGGGCAACAUUCCGAAAGGAAUGCUAAUACCGCAUACGCCCUACGGGGGAAAGCAGGGGAUCUUCGGACCUUGCGCUAAUAGAUGAGCCUAAGUCAGAUUAGCUAGUUGGUGGGGUAAAGGCCUACCAAGGCGACGAUCUGUAGCGGGUCUGAGAGGAUGAUCCGCCACACUGGGACUGAGACACGGCCCAGACUCCUACGGGAGGCAGCAGUGGGGAAUAUUGGACAAUGGGCGAAAGCCUGAUCCAGCCAUGCCGCGUGUGUGAAGAAGGCCUUUUGGUUGUAAAGCACUUUAAGCGAGGAGGAGGCUACUUAGAUUAAUACUCUAGGAUAGUGGACGUUACUCGCAGAAUAAGCACCGGCUAACUCUGUGCCAGCAGCCGCGGUAAUACAGAGGGUGCGAGCGUUAAUCGGAUUUACUGGGCGUAAAGCGUGCAUAGGCGGCUUUUUAAGUCGGAUGUGAAAUCCCUGAGCUUAACUUAGGAAUUGCAUUCGAUACUGGGAAGCUAGAGUAUGGGAGAGGAUGGUAGAAUUCCAGGUGUAGCGGUGAAAUGCGUAGAGAUCUGGAGGAAUACCGAUGGCGAACGCAGCCAUCUGGCCUAAUACUGACGCUGAGGUACGAAAGCAUGGGGAGCAAACAGGAUUAGAUACCCUGGUAGUCCAUGCCGUAAACGAUGUCUACUAGCCGUUGGGGCCUUUGAGGCUUUAGUGGCGCAGCUAACGCGAUAAGUAGACCGCCUGGGGAGUACGGUCGCAGACUAAAAACUC